rnacentral:rRNA from 1 species
GACAGAGGUGCCGAGCGUUAGGCGGAAUCACUGGGCUUAAAGCGUGUGUAGGCGGACUUCUAAGUACCUUGUGAAAUCCCCCGGCUCAACCGGGGAACUGCGUCUGAUACUGGGUGGCUUGAAUCCGGGAGAGGGAUGCGGAAUUCCAGGUGUAGCGGUGAAAUGCGUAGAUAUCUGGAGGAACACCGGUGGCGAAGGCGGCAUCCUGGACCGGCAUUGACGCUGAGGCGCGAAAGCCAGGGGAGCAAACGGG